CCUGCGAAUACUGGAUGAAGGCGUCUGCUACAAGGGAGGAGUUUAGAAAGAUUUGGAGAUGCUGGCUGGAGAAGUCCUAGAAGACUGUAAGAUGUGGGCAACUCUGUGCCCGGAUGAGGGGCUUGCUGCCUCUCACCCCAGUGGAUCUGCAGUGGUUGUGACCGACUCUACUGCUGCCCUCAACCUGGACAUCAUUCAGCACCCGGAAGCAACCCUGGGAGGGCCCAAACCUCGGGCCUAGACACUGCCUCUGCCCUUCCUCCGCUCUCAGGGACCACACACUCAGCUGGAUGAUGGCCUCCUGUUCUGCUCAUGUACUUGUUGCUGGCCUGGUUUCCCUUUGCCCCGACUCUGGACUCGGAUGCUGUUUGCCUCUUCCCAUCAAAGAGGCUCUGGGUACUGACCCACAGCUGAUGCCUUCCAGGCCCCCUCCAGACACCCUGUGCAGCUGGACCUCUAGUAAGCAGCUCUGCUCUGUGCUCCAGGCCCCAGGGUACUUGAUGCUUUCUUCACUGACCGUGGUUUUAGGCAGUGAGUGCCUUCAAGGCAGGAAUAAGUUCUCAACCUACUCUACAGCCCCUGCAGGCAGUGAGUCACAGGACUGCUCUGGUACUUGUCAGUCAGAUGCAUGAAGCCCCAGAUAUGCACAGCAGAGCACAAACUCUACUUCCUCUGCAUUCUUCCCUGUUGUACCUCCAAAGCUGUGCUGGUCAAACACUCAGUUUGAACAGAUUUGUUUUUCUUAAAUGAUCCUUCAUGCCAAAAAUACAUUUACCAAAUAAAUGUAUUAAUUUCUUUUGAAAUCACUUCAGUUGGAUACAACACUCUCAUUUAGCAGAUAUUUACACAAUUAUUGAGUGGUGGUAUUGUGACAGGCCUUUGUUAGAGAGUUCUUGCAUGGACAGAACCUCAAAUUCUACUAGGGAAAGAGAUGCUGAGCAUCUAACCAAAAAUAUGUUUGGUAAAUUCAUUUUCAUGAAAGUUACCAAAAUAAUCACCAUCAUAAUAAAAUAAUUGGC